UCUAGCGGAUUGCCGGUAGAUCUGAAGGCGCCGGACGCGGAGGAUGUAAAAGGCAGCGCAGCAUCGACCAGCGACAACGGGCGCUCAGGCUUUUCACCGAUUUCCUGAGGCUUUUCGGGCUUGAGGUACUCUUGAAAGGAGAGCUGCUGGGCACGAUAGCCCGUCGUUUGGCUGUUCGCCACGUUGUUUGCGGCAACAUCCAGCCGACGCCGGAGCGCCAUCAAUCGUGAGAGGCUGAUGAGCGUAGUUUCUCCGACCACCCGAACCUCUUCUCGUCGAAUCGCUCCGAC
rnacentral:misc_RNA from 1 species